UUGAAAGGGAAACGAUUGAAGUCAGUCAUGCUGUUGGGAAUCAACUUAGGGGAAACUCUAGGUGCACUUCUUCGCUUGGAGGUUAACAUCGACUUCGAUCAUCAUAAAAGGAUUGGAGGAAUGUAGCUUCGAUCUUGUAUUGAAGUGUUAUAGCCUUUGGUAAAUGUGAUGAUUGGGAUCGAGGAUUGCAACGAAUACCCUUUUGGGCUAUCCGCCUGAUCUCUGAUACGUGGCCUUGGCAUCGAAAGCUUGCUUAUGGUAUCAAGGUAUUACGGUCAAAAGGUUAGAACGGAUUACAUUCGUUAAGGAUGUUGACGUA
rnacentral:rRNA from 1 species